AUCCCGUGGUAUGGGCAUUGACGUAGUAGUUGCUUGAAUUUUUCCCAAACCUCGUAUAAGGAUUCAUCAUCCAUUUGCUGAAAAGUGGUGAUCUCAUUCCGUAACU
rnacentral:snoRNA from 1 species